rnacentral:rRNA from 1 species
CACCCGCAGCUCGAGUGGUGGUCACUUUUAUUGAGCCUAAAGCGUUCGUAGCCGGUCCUGUAAAUCUUCAGAUAAAUUCUCUCGCUUAACGGGAGAUCCUCUGAAGAGACUGUGGGACUAGGGACUGGGUGAGGUUGAAUGUACUUCUGGGGUAGGGGUAAAAUCCUGUAAUCCUGGAAGGACAACCGGUGGCGAAGGCGUUCAACUAGAACAGAUCCGACGGUGAGGAACGAGGGCUAGGGGAGCAAACCGGAUUAGAUACCCGGGUAGUCCUAGCUGUAAACACUGCCCACUUGGUGUUGCCUCUCCGUUGAGGGGAGGCAGUGCCGGAGCGAAGGUGUUAAGUGGGCCGCUUGGGGAGUAUGGUCGCAAGGCUGAAACUUAAAGGAAUUGGCGGGGGAGCACCGCAACGAGAGGAGCGUGCGGUUUAAUUGGAUUCAACGCCGGAAAACUCACCGGGAGCGACCUUUAGAUGAGAGUCAACCUGACGAGUUUACUCGAUAGAAGGAGAGGUGGUGCAUGGCCGUCGUCAGCUCGUACCGUAGGGCGUUCACUUAAGUGUGAUAACGAGCGAGACCCCCAUCUUUAAUUGCCAUGUUGUCUUUGCGGGCAACGGCACUUUAGAGGGACCGCCAGCGCUAAGCUGGAGGAAGGAGGGGUCGACGGCAGGUCAGUACGCCCCGAAUCUCCCGGGCUACACGCGCGCUACAAAGGACAGGACAAUGAGUUGCGACCUCGAAAGGGGUAGCUAACCUCGAAACCUGUUCGUAGUUAGGAUUGAGGGCUGUAACUCGCCCUCAUGAAUGUGGAUUCCGUAGUAAUCGCGGGUCAACAGCCCGCGGUGAAUAUGCCCCUGCUCCU